rnacentral:rRNA from 1 species
GUAAGGUAACGGCUUACCAUGGCAAUGAUGGCUAGGGGUUCUGCAAGGAAGGCCCCCCACACUGGUACUGAGACACGGACCAGAGUCCUACGGGAGGCAGCAGUGAGGAAUAUUGGUCAAUGGAGGCAACUCUGAACCAGCCAAGCCGCGUGAAGGAAGACUGUCCUAUGGAUUGUAAACUUCUUUUGUGGCAGAAUAAACUACCGUACUUGUACGGUAUUGCAUGUAUGCCAUGAAUAAGCAUCGGCUAACUCCGUGCCAGCAACCGCGGUAAUACGGAGGAUGCAGGCGUUAUCCGGAUUUAUUAGGUUUAAAGGGUGUUCAGGCUGCCUGGUAAGUCAGGGGUGAAAGUCGGUUGCUCAACGAUCGAAUUGCCUUUGAAACUGUCAGGCUCGAGUAUGGAUGCGGUAGGCGGAAUGUGUAGUGUAGCGGUGAAAUGCAUAGAUAUUACACAGAACACCGAUUGCGAAGGCAGCUUACCAAACCAGCACUGACGCUGAAGCACGAAAGCGUGGGGAGCGAACAGGAUUAGAUACCCUGGUAGUCCACGCCGUAAACUUUGCUCACUCGCUGUUGGCGAUAGACAGUCAGCGGCCAAGGGAAACCGAUAAGUGAGCCACCUGGGGAGUACGGCCGCAAGGUUGAAACUCAAAGGAAUUGACGGGGGCCCGCACAAGCGGUGGAACAUGUGGUUUAAUUCGAUGAUACGCGAGGAACCUUACCUGGGCUUAAAUGUGAAGUGCAUUGAUUGGAAACAAUCAUUUCCUUCGGGACCCUUUACAAGGUGCUGCAUGGUUGUCGUCAGCUCGUGCCGUGAGGUGUCGGGUUAAGUCCCAUAACGAGCGCAACCCCUAUUGUUAGUUACCAGCGCGUGAUGGCGGGGACUCUAGCGAAACUGCCGCCUGUAAACCGCGAGGAAGGUGGGGAUGACGUCAAAUCAGCACGGCCCUUAUGUCCAGGGCUACACACGUGUUACAAUGGCCGGUACAGCGGGCAGCUAGGCAGCGAUGUCAUGCUAAUCCCGAAAGCCGGUCCCAGUUCGGAUUGGAGUCUGCAACCCGACUCCAUGAAGG